AACGAACGCUGGCGGCAUGCCUAACACAUGCAAGUCGAACGAGACCUUCGGGUCCAGUGGCGCACGGGUGCGUAACGCGUGGGAACCUGCCCUUAGGUUCGGAAUAACUCCCCGAAAGGGGUGCUAAUACCGGAUAAUGUCUUCGGACCAAAGAUUUAUCGCCUUUGGAUGGGCCCGCGUUGGAUUAGCUCGUUGGUAGGGUAAAAGCCUACCAAGGCGACGAUCCAUAGCUGGUCUGAGAGGAUGAUCAGCCACACUGAGACUGAGACACGGCCCAGACUCCUACGGGAGGCAGCAGUGGGGAAUAUUGGACAAUGGGCGAAAGCCUGAUCCAGCAAUGCCGCGUGAGUGAUGAAGGCCUUAGGGUUGUAAAGCUCUUUUACCCGGGAUGAUAAUGACAGUACCGGGAGAAUAAGCUCCGGCUAACUCCGUG
rnacentral:rRNA from 1 species